rnacentral:lncRNA from 1 species
UUUUUGUUUUCAAUUGCUUUGAUUAUAAGUUAUAUCUGAUAAUGCAUGAUUUCGUUAUAUUUUUGUUUUCAAUUGCUUUGAUUAUAAGUUAUAUCUGAUAAUGCAUGAUUUCUUUAUUUUUUUGUUUUCAAUUGCUUUGAUUAUAAGUUAUAUUUGAUAUUUGAUGGUUUCCUUGGUUUAUUACAGGUUAGACAUGGCUGAUGACCAACAUGAGG